rnacentral:rRNA from 1 species
UACCAGCGCCCCGAGUGGUCGGGACGAUUAUUGGGCCUAAAGCAUCCGUAGCCGGUUCUACAAGUCUUCCGUUAAAUCCACCUGCUUAACAGAUGGGCUGCGGAGGAUACUAUAGAGCUAGGAGGCGGGAGAGGCAAGCGGUACUUAGUGGGUAGGGGUAAAAUCCGUUGAUCCAUUGAAGACCACCAGUGGCGAAGGCGGCUUGCCAGAACGCACUCGACGGUGAGGGAUGAAAGCUGGGGGAGCAAACCGG